CUGCUGGUCUGUGGCGAGCCGCGGACGCUGGUCUCUGUUCCGCAGGACGGGGUUUGUUAAGGUUGUCAAGAAUAAGGCUUACUUCAAGAGAUACCAAGUGAAAGUUAGAAGAAGAUGAGAGGUCGGAAGAGGGUC